rnacentral:rRNA from 1 species
AUACGGAGGGUGCAAGCGUUAUUCGGAAUCACUGGGCGUAAAGGACGUGUAGGCGGGUUGGCAAGUCAGAUGUGAAAUCCUACAGCUUAACUGUAGAACUGCAUUUGAAACUGCUAACCUAGAGUAUGGGAGGGGGAGAUUGAAUUAGUGGUGUAGGGGUAAAAUCCGUAGAUAUCACUAGGAAUACCGAAAGCGAAGGCGAUCUCCUGGAACAUAACUGACGCUAAGGCGUGAAAGCGUGGGGAGCAAACAGGAUUAGAUACCCUAGUAGUCC